rnacentral:rRNA from 1 species
GACGAACGCUGGCGGCGUGCUUAACACAUGCAAGUCGAACGGUGAAGCGCCGUCCUUGUUGGUUGGUCUGGAGGCGUGCCGAACGGGUGAGUAACACGUGAGUAACCUGCCCCCUUCUUCUGGAUAACCGCAUGAAAGCGUGUCUAAUACGGGAUAUUCUGGUUCUGUCUCAUGAUGGGUCAGGUUAAGCUGUUGGUUCUGGGGUGGCGGGGCUCGCGGCCUAUCAGCUUGUUGGGGGUGUGAUGGCCUAGCAAGGCUGGGACGGGUCGCCGGCCUGGGAGGGUGGACGGUCAGAGUGGGACUGCGACACGGCUGGGACUGCUACGGGACGCAGACUUGGGGAAUAUUGAACAGUGGGGGAAAGUCUGAUGCAGGGAGGCCGCGUGAGCGGUGGAGGCGCUCGGGGUGUGACGCCCUUCCGCUAGUGAAGCAGGUUUGCCUGGUUUGUGGGUUGGUUGACGGUAGCUGGAUAAGAAGCGCCGGCUAACUACGUG